rnacentral:rRNA from 1 species
GGAAUAUUGGACAAUGGGGGAAACCCUGAUCCAGCCAUGCCGCGUGUGUGAAGAAGGCCUUUUGGUUGUAAAGCACUUUAAGCAGUGAAGAAGACUCCUCGGUUAAUACCCGUGGACGAUGACAUUAGCUGCAGAAUAAGCACCGGCUAACUCUGUGCCAGCAGCCGCGGUAAUACAGAGGGUGCAAGCGUUAAUCGGAAUUACUGGGCGUAAAGGGAGCGUAGGUGGCUCGAUAAGUCAGAUGUGAAAUCCCCGGGCUCAACCUGGGAACUGCAUCUGAUACUGUUGAGCUAGAGUAUGUGAGAGGAAGGUAGAAUUCCAGGUGUAGCGGUGAAAUGCGUAGAGAUCUGGAGGAAUACCGAUGGCGAAGGCAGCCUUCUGGCAUAAUACUGACACUGAGGCUCGAAAGCGUGGGUAGCAAACAGGAUUAGAUACCCCGG